AACCUUAUGGACCUGCGGGCGUAUACCUGCGGAGGGAUCAUUACAAGUGACCCCGGUCUAACCACCGGGAUGUUCAUAACCCUUUGUUGUCCGACUCUGUUGCCUCCGGGGCGACCCUGCCUUCGGGCGGGGGCUCCGGGUGGACACUUCAAACUCUUGUGUAACUUUGCAGUCUGAGUAAACUUAAUUAAUAAAUUAAAACUUUCAACAACGGAUCU
rnacentral:misc_RNA from 1 species